rnacentral:rRNA from 1 species
UACGGGGGGAGCAAGCGUUGUUCGGAUUUACUGGGCGUAAAGGGCGCGUAGGCGGUCAGCACAAGUCAGUUGUGAAAUCUCCGGGCUUAACUCGGAGCGGCCAAGUGAUACUGUCGUGCUAGAGUGCGGAAGGGGCAACUGGAAUUCUCGGUGUAGCGGUGAAAUGCGUAGAUAUCGAGAGGAACACCUGCGGCGAAGGCGGGUUGCUGGGCCGACACUGACGCUGAGGCGCGAAAGCCAGGGGAGCGAACGGG